ACCAUAGAUUUAGAUUAUUAAAUGUUAAGUAUUAUUUUACUCUUAUUAUAUUUAUCUUUUUUGCAGCCACAGCAAUUGAUGUUGAAAAACUGAUGCUACCAAUCUCUCCUCUCUUGAUUAUUCAAGCUCAGAUUGUGAUGGACCUGGAAUGUGACACCAGAUACUCUUAAGUCAAGAACCAAAUAAAGCACAGAUGUGGAGGGAUCUGCAACUAAACUAACUGGAGGAAAGGAACCUUUAGUGUGGGUGAACAUACUACCUUGAUGUCCAGCAAAGGCUGCACAAGAGCUCAUUUGAUGGCACAUAUUCUGUCCUGUCUACAUCUCUGACGACCUGGAAGUGCUUUGACAUCAGAUCAUCAUCAUGUUGCUGCCCUUUUUCACUGUCCCUUUUCCACAACAUCAUUUGAACUUCAUCAUUUCCUGUCUUGUAGCAGUAUUUUCACCUGUUUUUAAAAUUGUAAUACUUUUUGAUGCAUUAAUUGUUGACUGGUUUUAAUGAUCAAUUGUUCAUUAGUGUUCUGUUGCUUUGUUAUAUUGAAUAAUUGCUACUGUUUCAGUAGGGUUUACACAAUAAACUUUUAUUGUGAA
ensembl:processed_transcript